UACGUAGGGUGCAAGCGUUGUCCGGAAUUAUUGGGCGUAAAGAGCUCGUAGGCGGUCUGUCGCGUCGGCUGUGAAAUCCCGGAGCUCAACUCCGGGUCUGCAGUCGAUACGGGCAAACUGGAGUACUGCAGGGGAGACUGGAAUUCCUGGUGUAGCGGUGAAAUGCGCAGAUAUCAGGAGGAACACCGGUGGCGAAGGCGGGUCUCUGGGAAGUAACUGACGCUGAGAAGCGAAAGCAUGGGUAGCAAACAGG
rnacentral:rRNA from 1 species